GGUUAAGUCCCGCAACGAGCGCAACCCUUGAUYUUAGUUGCCAGCAUUCAGUUGGGCACUCUAAGGUGACUGCCGGUGACAAACCGGAGGAAGGUGGGGAUGACGUCAAAUCAUCAUGCCCCUUAUGACCUGGGCUACACACGUGCUACAAUGGGCAGAACAAAGGGCAGCGAAGCCGCGAGGCUAAGCCAAUCCCACAAAUCUGUUCUCAGUUCGGAUCGCAGUCUGCAACUCGACUGCGUGAAGCUGGAAUCGCUAGUAAUCGCGGAUCAGCAUGCCGCGGUGAAUACGUUCCCGGGCCUUGUACACACCGCCCGUCACACCACGAGAGUUUGUAACACCCGAAGUCGGUGAGGUAACCUUUUGGAGCCAGCCGCCGAAGGUGGGACAGAUGAUUGGGGUGAAGUCGUAACAAGGUAGCCGUAUCGGAAGGUGCGGUUGGAUCACCUCCU
rnacentral:rRNA from 1 species